UUCCGGUUGAUCCUGCCGGAGGCUACCGCUAUUGGAGUUCGAUUAAGCCAUGCGAGUCUAGAGGCCUAGCCUCGGCGUACCGCUCAGUAACACGUGGGUAACCUACCCUAUGCUGGGGAAUAAGCUCGGGAAACUGAGAAUAAUACCCCAUAGUCCACUACGCCUGGAACGGUGAGUGGAUCAAAGCUCCGGCGGCAUAGGAUGGGCCUGCGGCGUAUCAGGUUGUAGGGGGUGUAAUGUACCCUCUAGCCAUCCACGCGUACGGGUGUUGGGAGACAUUGCCCGGAGAUGGAUUCUGAGACACGAAUCCAGACCCUACGGGGUGCAGCAGGCGCGAAAACUUGGCAAUGCGAGAAAUCGUGACCAGGGAACUCCAAGUGGCAGGGGUAAGACCCUGUCUUUUUCCGACUCUAAAUAGGUCGGCGAAUAAGGGGUGGGUAAGGACGGUGCCAGCCGCCGCGGUAAUACCGGCGCCUCAAGUGGUAGUCGCUUUUAUUGGGCCUAAAACGUCCGUAGCCGGUCUGGUACAUUCGUGGGUAAAUCAACUCGCUUAACGAGUUGAAUUCUGCGAGGACGGCCAGACUUGGGACCGGGAGAGGUGUGGGGUACUCUCAGGGUAGGGGUAAAAUCCUGUCAUCCUGAGAGGACCACCUGUUGCGAAGGCUCCACACUAGAACGGAUCCGACGGUCAGGGACGAAGCCUAGGGGCACGAACCGGAUUAGAUACCCGGGUAGUCCUAGGUGUAAACGCUGUGGACUUGAUGUUGGGGACGCUCCGAGCGUUCUCAGUGUCGAAGCGAAGGUGAUAAGUCCACUGCCUGGGGAGUACGGUCGCAAGGCUGAAACUUAAAGGAAUUGGCGGGGGAGCACCGCAACCUGAGGAUUGUGCGGUUUAAUUGGAUUCAACGCCGGA
rnacentral:rRNA from 1 species